rnacentral:tRNA from 1 species
UGAGCUAGAGCUUGAAUAAGUAUUUUAUUUACACUAAAAGGAUUAUUACUAAGGUAAUGUAGCUUGA